AGGAUUUUUAAACUAGCCAACUUUGAAGAUCCCAAGAUAUUGCUUCAUUUCUUAUUACUAUGCUAUCUCUUGGUAUAGUGUUUUUGCAGCUUAACUUUCACUGUUGCAACUUGGAACUGGUGUACUUGAUCUUAUUUCAUCUCUGAGUCAUGACAUUUUUGCCAUUUGUGUGAUUAGCUACCUUUGUCAUCAUCUGCUGCACUGGAGCACCAACUUUUAUAUUUCAAAGGAGCAAAUAAGUGAAAAUACACAAAUGUUGUUGCUUGUAGAAAUUGAGCUUUGCUCUGUGUAGUUUCUGAAGCCCUCCAGCUCUGCAAAUUGUUGGGUUUAGAGAGCACUGCAGACCUCAGGCUUGUGCUGAUGUUUGAUCUGGAUUACAAGAAAAUCUGCUGAGUUUUGUCAGGGUACAACACAGGAAAAGUGUCAGGAAAUGGCAGCCAAUGCUGUGAAUAACACAGGCAUUUGAUGAAAAACUAGCUAAACAAAAGAAAAAUGACUGUAGAUGGUCCUAGAAAGCACUAUGGCAUUAUAUUCAAUACAUGCUUUUAGGUGUUCUAAUUGUAUCUGAUAAAUAUAUCUGAAAUUAAGUCUCUAAUUGGAAAAAAUAACAACAGUGUGACCCUGAAUUAAUUAGAGUUAUGGAUUUCCCUAGUUUCAGUCUUACCUGUAGGUAUAUUAACUAAGAUCUUGACACUUUUACAUUUGCAAGUUCUUUCCAUGAGAUUACACAGAGUUCCAAAAAGGAAAAAAGUAAAACUGAAGAAGGUAUUGAUCAGUGGUCUUCAGCAUGGUUUUCAGAGCACCUUUCUCUUCCAACUGAACUAUUCUGUUCUGUUCAUAUCCACAGGAGAACUGCUUCAGUACUGGAGACAGGAGUUUGGAGCGCUCCCUUGUACAAGUAUGUACCACCCUGCCAAGGACAGAUUAUCACCCACUCAGGUGAGGAGAGAGUGAGCGAAGCUUUUUAGACUUCAGUUUUUGAUUUAGUGCUCUGAGCAUCCUCCUGAAUUUGGUUUUAUAUUCCUAUGUCUUUUUUUUUUUUUUUUGACUCUGGCUCUAAAUCAAAAGAGGGUAUAUAUUUUAGCCUUAGAGGUUGAAGAAUCUGAUUCUUUCUCCUGACAGUGAACAAUGUCUUUAAGUGAUGUGCAAGUCAUGUUUAAGCGCCUCUUAUUUAAGAAAGCAAUCUUUCAUUUGCCUUUGGUUUUCAUGACAGUUUAAGCACUUAUAUGUUAAUUUUUCUCAGUUCCACAGGAUUAGAAAUAUUUCUUCCAAAGGAUAAAAUGAGGAUGCAGUUGAGGAGGAUGUGAAGUAGAAACCAAAUUCAGGAGGAACAUUUAUUUUGAAAUAAGAAUCUGUCUCAAUCCUAGUGAUCAGAUAAAAUCUGAGUGUAGAGGUUUUUAAAAUUUAAUUUGCUGAUAGGUCAGGAGUUGUGAAA
rnacentral:lncRNA from 1 species